GUGUUGUAUGAAAGGAGAGUUUAGCACUCCUCUUGAUAAGGAUGGAAGAGGCUCUGGGGCCUAACACCAUGCAUAUGGUCAAGGCAUUGUCACCUCCUUGAAUGCCAUCGCUCUCCACCCAUGUGG